AACGAUAUAGUUUAUUUAGAACUUAAAGUUUGCGUCUUUAAAGAAGAAGUUUUUUCUUAUUGUUA
rnacentral:tRNA from 1 species